rnacentral:rRNA from 1 species
UACGGGGGGAGCAAGCGUUGUUCGGAUUUACUGGGCGUAAAGGGCGCGUAGGCGGCUAGGCAAGUCAGGUGUGAAAGCCCCGGGCUUAACCCGGGAAUUGCAUCUGAAACUGCUGUGCUUGAGUUCUGGAGGGGGUAGUGGAAUUCCCAGUGUAGCGGUGAAAUGCGUAGAUAUUGGGAGGAACACCUGCGGCGAAGGCGGCUACCUGGACAGAAACUGACGCUGAGGCGCGAAAGCUAGGGGAGCGAACGGG